GACCGUAUGGACAAUGGGCUGCCCA
rnacentral:siRNA from 1 species